rnacentral:piRNA from 1 species
UUCUAGGAACUGGGAAGCCCCCCCAC